GCGGCUGUGUCCCGCCGGAGCGCUUUUCCCGGCGGCCCGGGCCGGAAGGAAGCGGGGCGCACACUCCAGCACGCGGGGGAAGAUGGUGGCCACACGGCGAGCAGCGCGGCGCGGGCCCGAGCCCGCUGCCCCGGCUGCGGCAGAGCUGGCAUCUGCUGAAGUUAGUACUCCUGUUUCUGCAAAGAUGUCCAGGAGAAGAACUAAAGGAAACUCUCAGCCAGAAGUCAUUCAUGAAUCUCAGGAUGAGGGGUUGGAAGAUGCUGAAACAAAAUCAGAUCUUGGUGAUCCCUCUGAGGCACAAACAACUAAGAAUAGAGACACAAAUGUGCAAUCAGCAAAAUCAAGUGUUGAGCCACAGGCUGAUGGAGAUGAAGCAGAAUCUGCCGUGUCCGAACUUGAGACACCUUUAUUCAUAAGGAUAACAAGGAGAAGACAGAUCACAAUUCCUUAUCAACCAGAUUCACCAGCCAAAAAGAGGCCUAGCAAGGCAGCUCUUCUAAGUGAAUUAAGUAAAUCUCAAGAUGAAGAUGUCUCUGAAGCCGAGUCAUGUUCUUCAACUGUAUCUGGCAUCUGUACAACUAGUGUUACAAGAACUACAAGAAGCAGGAAAUGCAAAGCUAAACUCCACCCAGAUCCAGUUUGUGAUGCCCAAGCUGAAGAGGUUUCUGAUGCAGAGUCGUGGUGCUCUGGUCUUUGUGUGGAGCCAUCUGUAACUACCAAAAGAAUAACUAGGAGUAUGCUAAUGAAAGCGCAAGCAGAAACCAUUAGACAAACUGAGAAAAAAGUUAAUGAAGUUGUGCUGGAAGAUGAGACGUUAACUGAGGACAGGAUUAAAUCCCAACCAGUAGACGUAUCUGACUGUGAACAUGUCACAAAAUCUGAUUCUGAUACAGAGCAAGCUUCCUCUCUUUCAUCUAAUAGAUACGUCACUCAGAGUAAUAAACAAUCCAGCCCCUGCAAGACCCAAUGCCAGACUGAAUCUGCCAAUACAAACCAAAGUGAUGACCCAAAACAAGUUUUAAUUGAUUCAACACCCAGCAGUCCUAAAGAAACAGGAAAAAGAUGUACCAUAGACUCUCCUAAAAAAGAAACAAUAAAGGAGACACACUUCGAAAUUGUAGAUAACUCAGAGGAAAUGUUGGAAAAGGAGGGAGACAUAACUGAAAAAGAAUCACAGUUGAAAAGUGCUUCUCUUUUUCUAUCUGGCCAUGAGAGCCUUGAUGAGUCCUUUAAGUCCCAAAGGCAGACAACCCCAAGUAAAAGCAAAAUAAUUCCAGAACACCAAAAAGCAGACAUUGGGGAGGCUACACAGAGAUCUUUCACCCAUGCAGAUGAAUUAAUGGUAGCAGACAAGCCAACUAGCACAACAAGCAGCCCACAAAAGGGCGUAUACUUAUCACCAGUUGGUGGUGACAGUGAUGGUGACUGCAAAAUGUCUAUCAAUGUAGACAAUGGUGAAAGUCAAGCAGAACUAGUUACUAAAUCCUCCCCACAUGUAACCAAAAGAUCAUGUAAUAAAAAUGAAUCUGCUGUGUUGCUCCUGAGCAGUGAUGAGAGUGAUGAAAUGGAAAACAAUGAUGUGGAAGAAGUGAGUGAUGUAGGAGAAAAUCUGUAUUGUACAGAGACCAGAAAUCAAAAGUCAUCCUUGAACAAAUCUUUAGAAAAUGACUCAUCACAUGGAGAACUGUUUGUAAUUGACACAGAACCUGGUUUGGACGGCAACAAAAAGUAUUAUCUAGAACAGGAAGAUAGAAGGAGCGAUGCAGAAAGUAAGGAUGAAGAAAGUGAAAGAGAUGAGCCUUCAGAUCUGGAAGAAAAUGAGGAGGAGUUCAUAGAUGAAGAUGAAGAUGCACAUUUAUUGAAAAAUAAAAAGCCUAAUAUUUUACAUCUAUCAAGCAGCAUAGAUCCUGGUCUAAAUAUCAAGAGUCUUGGAGGCUUAUAUAUUAGCUUUGAUGCAGGAAAACAAAAAGCUGGCUCAAGUGCAAUUAAACAAUUAAAGGGGGAAAAGAAAGAAGAGCUCUUGCAGAAGAGUAUAAUAACUCCAGAUUUUGAAAAGAAGGACUGUGUUCCACCAUUCAAGGAAUCAAUCCGUCAGAUAAAGAAACAGCGCAAGGCAGAGCGAGAGAAAACAACAGGUGAUGGCUGGUUUGGUAUGAAAGCUCCAGAAAUGACAAAUGAAUUGAAAAAUGAUCUAAAGGCUCUGAAGAUGAGGGCUUCCAUGGACCCCAAACAUUUUUACAAGAAGAAUGAUAGAGAUGGUCUGCCCAAAUACUUUCAGGUGAGGAACCAGGAAAAAUAAAGAGAUCCUGUUACUACUUUUCUAGUCCAGAACAGUCAUGCUUAUUUCCUAUCUAGUUAUUUUUAGACGUCCAUUUGUCCAAACUCACUUUUACAAUUAGAUGCACAUACUAUGAAAUUAUAUUGUUUUCCAUUUACUUACAAUUUUUGACCUUGAUUACAGUUUACAAGUGGAAUUUUGUUGCAACCAACUAUUUAGCCUUAUCUGUGUACUUCUAUAUAUGCCCGUGUUUUGUAUUGUUUUUUUGCUUGCUGACUUGGAACUGAUUUCACGGGAUAGAAAUGCAUCUCUUUGUUUUCAAAAUCUGUUUUCACGCCACACAAUGGUAAUAAAUUUGUAUCUAACCUUUCAGAUUUUGCAGGUCUUCUCCAGUAUAUCAGUCUUCUUUUUUUACGAGUCUACAAUAAUAAUUAAUCCUCUUAUUAGUCAAGAUUCUCCUCUGUGGACUGGCUCCAUUGAUCCACUGAAAUUCCUGUUACUGUAGCUAUUGCAGCUUAAUGUAUUUUGUGGUAUGACAGUAAUUGGAAACUGGCGCAACUUGCAGGAAAUCUGGAGUUGUUUUUUAUAUUUUUAGUUAAGUUCUUAGUCCUUCUCUGCCUCUAGCUAUUUGGCAUAUUCAACACGUUUACAAAUAUUCAUUUUUCUCAAAAUAUUGGUGGCUUGCUUUCAAGGCUGAGCAUUGUUAUAUGCUAUUGUAAGUUUCCUGUCAUGAUAGUAUCUGGAUGUAUUUUAUUUAUUUAAGAUCAAGAUACACAUUUUACCACACUAGGAAAUACAUGCUCCAUGGGCCUCCCUUAUCCCCAUGGUGACCAAACCAACUGCUGUGAAAGAUCAGAACUCAGAGAAGUGUCAGCCAUGAAUCAAUGGGAGUUGAAGUGGGCUCAACAUUUUUCAUGCUAGGGCCCUUAAAUCCUGUACUGGGUUAAAAGGUAAUAGUAAUUGCUGAGCAAAAACUUUGUAGUGAUAAAGGACAAGACCUGUGAAAGAUUUAAUUGCUCCUCCCUCAGGUAAUCAAAAAUACAAUCGUAUAUAAAUUUGGAGAGCUAGGUUGUGAUUAUCAUGGUGUACCAGUCCCUGUGUUCAGAACUGCUCUGUUUUCACAUGCUAUUCUUUGGAUUAAACCUGAGAGGAAAAAUGGUGAUUAUGCAUACAAAACACUGCUUGUUUCUUUUGGCACUUUGCAUUACAGCUUUUCAUGAUUCCUCCCAUUUUUCUCUUAAAACACCUGGGACCUGUCAUUAAAAACAAACAAAAACCUUGGUAUGUUGCAGGAAGGCUCACUUUAAAUUUUCUUUUCCGAGGUUGGAACUGUGGUUGACUCUCCAAUAGACUUUUACCAUGCUCGAAUCCCCAAGAAACAAAGGAAGAGAACCAUUGUUGAAGAGCUGCUUGCAGAUUCUGAGUUUAGGAGGUAUUU